CUUUGUGAAAUGACUUGAGAGGUAUAAAAUAAGUGGGAGCCAGAAACGGCAAAAGUGAAAUACCACUACUAUUAACAUUAUUUUACAUUUUCCAUGAAACGAAGACGUGGCAAGGCCCCUUCUUUUAAAACUAAGGUUUACGCUGUUGGAGAAAUCUUUCUGGAAUAUUUUG
rnacentral:ncRNA from 1 species